GAUGAAGAACGUAGCGAAAUGCGAUAAGUAAUGUGAAUUGCAGAAUUCAGUGAAUCAUCGAAUCUUUGAACGCACAUUGCGCCCCUUGGUAUUCCGAGGGGCAUGCCUGUUGAGCGUCAUUAUAACCCCUCAAGCUCAGCUUGGUGUUGGGGCCUGCUGCACUGGCAGCCCUUAAAAUCAGUGGCGGCGCCAUCUGGCUCUAAGCGUAGUAAUUCUUCUCGCUAUGGAGUCCUGGUGGAUGCUUGCCAUCAACCCCCAAUUUUUCUAUGGUUGACCUCGGAUCAGGUAGGGAUACCCGCUGAACUUAAGCAUAUCAAUAAGCGGAGGA
rnacentral:misc_RNA from 1 species